ACCGAAAAGAAGAAGGUUCUCCUUGGUAUUGGAGGAGGGCAUUAUGUACCUCGGCACAUGGACAUAAUUAUGAAAGACGGGACUUGGGUCGGCCACCUCAUCUCCGGAUAUUCUUUGCCAAUGGAAGAUCCUGGACAGUUGAAAGAGAAAACAACCACUGACAGCAUUGGAG